AGUGAACGCUGGCGGUAGGCCUAACACAUGCAAGUCGAACGGCAGCACAGUAAGAGCUUGCUCUUACGGGUGGCGAGUGGCGGACGGGUGAGGAAUACAUCGGAAUCUACUUUUUCGUGGGGGAUAACGUAGGGAAACUUACGCUAAUACCGCAUACGACCUACGGGUGAAAGCAGGGGAUCUUCGGACCUUGCGCGAUUGAAUGAGCCGAUGUCGGAUUAGCUAGUUGGCGGGGUAAAGGCCCACCAAGGCGACGAUCCGUAGCUGGUCUGAGAGGAUGAUCAGCCACACUGGAACUGAGACACGGUCCAGACUCCUACGGGAGGCAGCAGUGGGGAAUAUUGGACAAUGGGCGCAAGCCUGAUCCAGCCAUACCGCGGGUGAAGAAGGCCUUCGGGUUGUAAAGCCCUUUUGUUGGGAAAGAAAAGCAGCAGGUUAAUACCCCGCUGUUCUGACGGUACCCAAAGAAUAAGCACCGGCUAACUUCGUG
rnacentral:rRNA from 1 species